rfam:Erinaceus europaeus unplaced genomic scaffold scaffold00340, whole genome shotgun sequence
GGAUAUGAAGGCAAUCCGACUGCGACAUUUCUCACCCCAUUGAUCACCAGGGUUGAUUCAGCUCCUGCCCCAGGUAAUGUGCUUGGCUGGCUAGGUGGGUGUCCCCUUCCUCUCUCACCACUCAUGUGCGUCCCUCCUGAAGCUGCACCCUCCAUUGAAGAGGACGGCCUUCCCCAAAUAGAGGCAGGCUGGUCUUUGGUCCCCUGCGCUCCCCUGCUAGAACCUCCAAACAAGCUCUCUGGAGAGAUCCUGGUUAUAUUUUGUUGAGUUUCCAGGUGAUUUUCAUGUUUGGUUUUU